UGGUGUCCAGCAGGGUGGCAGUAGAGAGCAGUUGUCCUCUGGGCCAGUUUCCCUGUGGUAAUGUGACAGUGUGUCUACACCAGGCUCUGCAGUGUAAUGGACAUAGAGACUGUCCCAACGGAGCCGACGAGGACAACUGUGGAGACAACAGUGGAUGGGCGGACAUCUUUGAUCGAACCAUCAGGAAGGUCGAACCACAGGUCCUACCGUUACCAGAAGACUGCUUCUUGCAGCAGUACCCACAGCGUUGUGACUGUAUCAAGACAGAGCUAGAGUGUGUGGAAGUCAACCUACAUGACGUUCCUCAAGUCUCCACCAAUGUCACCUGGCUGUCUCUGAAGAGUAAUGAGAUAAAGAGACUGUCGGACAACAUCUUCUCCAAAUACACACACCUGCAGAGACUGUUCCUACAGAAUAACAGCAUCCAGACAAUCUCACUCAAGCCUUCAGUGGACUUCUACAAGCUAGAGAGACUGUUUCUCAGUGAGAACUCCAUCUCAUCUCUCAGUCCGGGUGUGUUCAGUGAUCUCCGUAAUUUAUGGUGGCUG